UAGGGAAUCUUCCACAAUGGGCGCAAGCCUGAUGGAGCAACACCGCGUGAGUGAAGAAGGGUUUCGGCUCGUAAAGCUCUGUUGUUAAAGAAGAACACGUAUGAGAGUAACUGUUCAUACGUUGACGGUAUUUAACCAGAAAGCCACGGCUAACUACGUGCCAG
rnacentral:rRNA from 1 species